rnacentral:lncRNA from 10 species
ACCUGAGCAAGGAGAGGUUCUCUGUGCUUAGUGUCAAAUCAACAGUGCCUUGACAUCUUUCCACACUGCUUUGGAACUUGCAGUAGACCAGAGAGAAAUUCAACAUGUCUGUCUGUAUGAAAUUGGUAAAUAUGAAAUGUCUGUCCAGCCUCUUGUUAAGAAGUAGUAUUAAUGCAGUAUUUUAGCUUUCAUGCCAUUCAGUGUGUGUCUACAAAAUGCUUGGUGCCUUCUGUAGUAAGAAGGACUUCAGUUAUUCCCGUAGCACAUGCAAUGAUACUUCUCUCUGAUUCUCAUUACGUUUUUAUAACAUUUUUUCUUUACAGCAUUUUGAUUUUUUAGGAUAAUAGGUGAUGUUAAAUGAAUUGAUUAAAUGACCAGAAAUACCUUAUUGGACUGCAUUAGAAUUCAAAGCUCUUUGUUCCUCCUUCCCACUAAUGUUUACUUGAGAAGAAAAAUAGGAGACAGGAGAUAGUUGGACUGAAGUCCCAGUGUUUUUCACCAACUAGCUCU